rnacentral:rRNA from 1 species
GACGUAGGUGGCGAACGUUAUCCGGAAUCACUGGGCUUAAAGGGCGCGUAGGCGGGCCAUCAAGUCAGGGGUGAAAGCCCCCAGCUCAACUGGGGAAGUGCCUCUGAUACUGGUGGCCUCGAGGGAGGUAGGGGCGUGCGGAACUUCCGGUGGAGCGGUGAAAUGCGUAGAUAUCGGAAGGAACACCGGUGGCGAAAGCGGCGCGCUGGACCUCUUCUGACGCUGAGGCGCGAAAGCCAGGGGAGCAAACGGG